CACACACAACAUACAAGUGCAAGGGUGAGCUAGGUUUCAAACGAACAUACAAAUCAUAGCAAAGUGAUCAAACAUUACCGAAAACAUAAUUUCACAUGCAAACAUACAAGUCAUCAUAAUCACAGGCACUUAGUUCAUAAUUUAACCAAUCAAUCAUCUUAUCAUGCGAAGACUCCUAGACACGUCCGGACAUAGAAUGAAUGUAGAGUUGGGGCGGGUUGUGCACUUGUGAUGGCCCUACUGCUUUGCAAAGCCAUUGCCGAGGGGUUCCACCCGGCCAUACACAAGGCUAGUCCGUUACCGCAGUAUAGGCCUACAGUGAAAGCGCCUACCCUAGGACCUCCCACUACUCUCACCACACGCGUCAAUCCUCUCUAAGUGAGAAUGAAAGACCGUUAGAGUGUUAGGG
rnacentral:lncRNA from 1 species